rnacentral:rRNA from 1 species
UACGUAGGGGGCAAGCGUUGUCCGGAUUUAUUGGGCGUAAAGAGCGUGUAGGCGGCUGGGUAGGUCCGUUGUGAAAACUCGAGCUCAACCUCGAGACGCCGAUGGAAACCCUCCAGCUAGAGUCCGGAAGAGGAGAGUGGAAUUCCUGGUGUAGCGGUGAAAAUGCGCAGAUAUCAGGAAGAACACCAAUGGCGAAGGCAGCUCUCUGGGACGGUACUGACGCUGAGACGCGAAAGCGUGGGGAGCGAACAGG